GAUGUAAAGACAGAGGCAGAGAUUAGAAUACUGGGGUAGGCACCAGAAGCUGGAAGAGUCCAGAAAGGGAUUCUUUCUUAGAGCCCCUGGAGGGAAUGUGCCCUGUCAACAUUUUGGUUUCAGACUUCAGGCCUUCAGAACUGUGAGAGAAUAAAUUUCUGUUGUUUUAAGCCACCAAGUCUGUGGCAAUUUGUUCCAGCAGGCUACAGGAAAGUAAUACACUCCAGUCAAGCAACUCUCUGACUGAGGCACUAAGCAAUGUCGCCCAGCUCCACGAUGUUCGCAAAGGUCCUGCACCACCACCACCACCCACACUUCCCUGAAGGGAGAAGAGCUUUGUCAAAAGAUUUCCCGGUAAAUCAAAAGCACUUUGUGGAUAGGAAUAGUGUGGACCGUGCCUGAAUGAGACCUAGUUAUGUAUGUGGUGCUCUCCAAAAUGAGUUCUUGCUGGCGCCAGUCAAUCAAAUACCUAAACCCCUAAAUGAAUGAGGAAGUUUGAGAAACUGCUGUAGUAACUAGGUUAAGUUAAACAAAUACACCCAAGUUUUGCAUAGUUCUGUAUUCCUCCAAUCAAAAUAAAAUUUUCACAGCUUAGCUGCCCAAAUAUACUUGUGGCGCUAUCCUUCUUGAGGUCACGAAAUGACAUUCCUGCUAUGUGCUCUGUGCUGUGAAUACUGUGAUAACUCUACGAUUUCACAGACAUUUUCAGGGGUUUUAUGAUUCUGUGUCAGACCCUGUGAAAAGUCAGGGGAAAGAAAGACAAUGAAAAUAAUACAUUGCCCAGUCUUUUUUGUUUGUUUGUUUUUGUUUUUUUUGUUUUUUGUGUUUUUUUUUUUUUUUAGAGAUGGAGUCUCG
rnacentral:lncRNA from 1 species